rnacentral:lncRNA from 1 species
CCGUCGACUUCAUAGAGGCAACCGAAGAGCAAUGCGUAUUGUCAAAAGACAUGCCCUAACAGGCAGGCACUGUACAGGCAGGUUUCAAUAGGAGAAUGACUAUCUAUGCUCGAACAUGAGAAGCUGACAAAACACUCAUUGGUCAGAUGAGAGUCGGUUUAUGUUUUGACCAGUAGACGCCAUAAUACGAAUUUCGCGGGGAAAUAA